rnacentral:piRNA from 1 species
UGGAAGUGAAUGCCUGUGGUGGCCCUUGU